rnacentral:misc_RNA from 1 species
GAUAAACAUUCUACGAAGCUUGACCCCUCUUAUCCGAAAGAAAGAGUUGAACGAAGCAAACAGCAGUGCAUCAACAAUCAGUAAUACGUCAAGAUGACCGGUUUCAUUUGCAUUUGUAAACUGUUCGCACCAAUGAUAAUAAUAAUAAUUAUAAACUCUGAACCGUGUGCGGCUAAAUGCAGGUCCUUCAACAAUGUUUUGGUUGGUUUGAAAGACAGAUACGGGUUUGCAUAUAAUUCCACGGUGAACGGUUGUAUAGAAAGGAUUGGAUUCGGUGACAGGGAGAUUGAAGAGGUUCAUAUACGGAACCAGAAAAUACCGAAACUUGGAACGGAUUCUGUCAGGAACAUGGGGCGUUUGAAACUACUUUCGUUUUUAGAGUGCGAUUUGGAGACUGUACAACCUGACGCUUUCAGGAACGUACCCAGACUGAAGCAAGUUCAGGUUUCUUUUUGUAAUCUGACCAAAAUACAGAAAGGAGUAUUCUACCCCAUGAACAACUUGGAAAUAUUGAAACUGGAUCACAACCAGAUAACAAUCAUCGAACCCGAAACCUUUGCGAAUCUAUCUGUCCUAACAAGGAUCUACUUCGACAACAACAAGCUAACCGAAUGGCGAAGAGACUGGUUCGAUGAAUCUUACAUCAGAUUAGAGACCAUGGACUUUCAACGAAACAAAAUCCGGUCCAUUCCUCCCAAGGCAUUCGCGAACAUGAAAAAACUGAAGCAGAUCAACUUCGAUUACAACGAAAUCGACUCCAUCGGGUCAGGAGCCUUCGAAGGUUUGAGCGACCUGGAUCACCUGAGACUGAAGCACAACAGAUUGAAGAUCAUCAAGGAAGAUGCAUUUCCCACACAAAUCAGGAUCAGGAAUCUCAUUAUAAGUGCGAACCUACUCAACUUUUUGCCGAAGAAGACGUACACCAAGCUUUCAGUAGAGGAACUCCUUAUAGACUACAACCCAUGGAAAUGUUCCUGCUAUGAUAGUUUACUCCAAUGGAUGUAUGCUACUAAUGUUACCUUGAUCAAGGCCAAACACUGUGAUAUGAGUUCUGUGCCAGUUUGUGCUUUUCCUCAAAAACAGUCCCGGGUUCAGGAUUGUCAGGAAGAUAUUGAUGAGGAGCUUACUAAGCGGUUUAUUGGGAUACUCAGGAAUUUACCUACUCCUUUGAGAGAAUAUUGUGCGCAGUUGGAUUGAAGUACCUAUUUUGGCUAUCUGAAUCAGAAACUGAUUCUUUCUCGUGAACUUCUACUGUGAUAACGUCGUUUAUUUUUCUUGUUGGCCAACCAUAAUUUCAAGAAAAAGUCAAACUACAUUGUAUUUGAUUACAUUCAAUAACUAUAUUAGUUGAUUUGAAAACUAUUAUCGAAAGAAUAGUUGUCAUGGAAUGUGUUACGAUGACACUCUUGAUUCUUCAUAAAACAAAGAAAUCACGACCGCACACUAAUGUUUACAUUAUUUGGAAACGAUUCUUGUUCCAUCUAUCAAAAUGUGUACAAUAUUUGGGUCAAUCUUAUUUCGCGCGUCGACAAAUUCCGACAAAAUAAAAGCGAAUUAGUAAAAA